rnacentral:rRNA from 2 species
UCAAAUGACUCUCGGCAAUGGAUAUCUCGGCUCUUGCAUCGAUGAAGAACGUAGUGAAAUGUGAUACUUGGUGUGAAUUGCAGAAUCUCGUGAACCAUUGAGUCUUUGAACGCAAGUUGUGCCCGAGGCCUUGUGGCCGAGGGCACGCCUGCUUGGGCGUCAUGG